rnacentral:rRNA from 1 species
GGUGAACGCUGGCGGUAUGCCUAACACAUGCAAGUCGAGCGGACACACGAUGAGCGUUCUCCUCUACCGGUGGCGACGGGCGGGCGGGUAAGACAUAGAUCACCUACUUAUUUUUCUUGGGGAAUUUCGUGAAACCGGUUCCGCUACUGGCUAAUAUGUUCAACCGCAUAGAGCAGUAGUGAAUGACGGCUUUGCUGUCACUUAUAGCUGGAUCCGCGCCGCCUUAGCUAGUUGGUAAGGUAACGGCUUACCAAGGCAACGAUGCGUAGCCGACCUGAGAGGAUGAUCGGCCACACUGGAACUGAGACACGGUCCAGACUCCUACGGGAGGCAGCAGUAGGGAAUAUUGGACAAUGGGCGCAAGCCUGACGCAGCCACGCCGCGUGGGUGAAGAGGGUCUUCGGGUCGUAAAGCCCUGUUGUUAGGAAAGAAAAGAUGUGUAAGUAUCCCCGGAUGUCCUGACGGUACCCAAACAAUAAGCACCGGCUAACUACGUG